rnacentral:rRNA from 1 species
UACGUAGGGGGCGAGCGUUGUCCGGAUUUAUUGGGCGUAAAGAGCGUGUAGGCGGCCAGGUAGGUCUGCUGUGAAAACUCGAGGCUCAACCUCGAGACGUCGGCGGAAACCAUCUGGCUAGAGUCCGGAAGAGGAGAGUGGAAUUCCUGGUGUAGCGGUGUAAUGCGCAGAUAUCAGGAAGAACACCCGUGGCGAAGGCGGCUCUCUGGGACGGUACUGACGCUGAGACGCGAAAGCGUGGGGAGCGAACAGG